GGAGAAACACUGAUGCUGCAGUGCCAGAGUGAGACGAAGCUGUGCUAGCUAGCACCUGUCAUGGCGUUAAGCCAUCCCAUACCCACCAGAACAGGACUCGCUGGCGGUCUCUGACAAGAUCAGCCUGUAACAGGUUUGAGCAGGAUUGACAAAAUCAUCUACAGGCGGCAUGUGAAAGGUGCCACAGAGCUGCAUCAUCAAACACCACAAAUACAGACUUCCCGUGCGCUGAGUGCGGCCGACUCUGUGCAUCAGGCUUUGGAGUCAUAUGCGUAGCCAUAGAGAAGAACUGGGACAAUAUCGUCAUCAGCGAUGGACUACCAACACCCACCAGAUUCAGCUUGAAGUGGAAGGGCCGAAGCAUUGUAAAGAAAGUCAGUACUUGUACGUUCUAGCCCGACGAAGAGCAAGAAGCAUAAAUCUCCUGAGAAGACUGCAAGGGUGAGAUUUCCACUCCACUUCUGGAGAAGCAAGACAUUUGGCUCAAGUUCAGGUUCCAGCAAAAGAUACUUGGCAGGAUUAGGCUGAUGAAGACCCCCUCCCCCAAUCACAGAGAGAUAACAGUACCUCAAAGAGAAGAAG